rnacentral:rRNA from 1 species
AUUGAACGCUGGCGGCAGGCCUAACACAUGCAAGUCGAGCGAGCGGCGGACGGGUGAGUAAUGCCUGGGAAUUGCCCAUUCGCGGGGGCUAACCGUUGGAAACGACUGCUAAUACCGCAUACGGUUUGAUUGCCCAGGUGGCAUUAGCUAGUUGGUGAGGUAAUGGCUCACCAAGGCGACGCUCCCUAGCUGGUCUGAGAGGAUGAUCAGCCACACUGGAACUGAGACACGGUACAGACUCCUACGGGAGGGAGCAGUGGGGAAUAUUGCACAAUGGGGUAAACCCUGAUGCAGCCAUGCCGCGUGUGGGAAGAAGGCCUUCGGGUUGUAAAGCACUUUCAGCGAGGAGGCGUUACUCGCAGAAGAAGCACCGGCUAACUCCGUGCCAGCCGCCGCGGUAAUAC